GUGGGCGUAGCUCAGUUGGUAGAGCAUCAGAUUGUGGUUCUGAGGGUCGCGGGUUCGAGACCCGUCGCUCACC
rnacentral:tRNA from 1 species